rnacentral:rRNA from 1 species
GUAAGUGUAUUAUUGUAAUACAAUAACGAUUAACUCGUAUAAAAUUCUAAAUAGGAUAAUGAUAAUGACAAUUUCCUAUUUAUAAGUCUUGACCAAAUUACGGGCCAGCAGUCGCGGUAAUACGUAGAAGACUAGUGUUAGUCAUCUUUAUUAGGUUUAAAGGGUACCUAGACGGUAAAUUAAACUCUAAAUGAGUACUUUUUUACUAGAGUUUUAUGUGAGAAGGAAGAAUUUCUGGAGUAGGGAUGAAAUACUUUGAUACCAGAAGGACUGGUAACGGCGAAGGCAUCCUUCUAUGUAAAAACUGACGUUGAGGGACGAAGGCUUGGGUAGCAAUAAGGAUUAGAUACCCUAGUAGUCCAAGCAGAAAAUGAUGAAUGUCAUAGGCUAGAUUUAAAAUUUAGUCUAUAAAUGAAAGUGUAAGCAUUCCACCUCAAGAGUAAUAUGGCAACAUAUAAACUGAAAU